GAACAAGGGACCCACGGAUAGAACAUGCCGAUAGCGAAGAUUGCACCGUCGAUGCUGUCAUCGGACUUCGCCAAUUUGGCAUCGGAAGCCGAUCGCAUGAUUCAGUGCGGCGCCGAUUGGCUCCACAUGGACAUCAUGGCGAAUAUUUUCUCAAAAUCUUACUGGGUUCUUGUCUUGGUUCCUCUGCAGGAUGGACAUUUUGUACCAAAUCUUACUAUUGGCGCUCCUGUCAUUCAAAGCCUUAGAAAGCACUCCAAGGCAUAUUUGGAUUGUCAUCUUAUGGUCACAAAUCCUCUUGACUAUGUGGAACCAUUAGGAAAAGCUGGUGCUUCAGGUUUUACAUUUCAUGUUGAGGCAUCCAAAGAUAAUUGGCAAGAACUUGUCCAGCAGAUUAAAUCGAAGGGCAUGAAGCCUGGUGUGGCUUUGAAGCCCGGAACACCUGUUGAAGAGGUUUAUCCACUGCUUGAUGGUGAAAAUCCUGUGGAAAUGGUUCUUGUUAUGACUGUGGAACCUGGAUUUGGUGGGCAGAAGUUCAUGCCCGAAACGAUGGAAAAGGUAAGAGAUCUGAGAAAGAAGUACCCGUCACUUGAUAUAGAGGUGGAUGGAGGUUUGGGGCCUUCGACCAUUGAUGCUGCAGCUUCAGCCGGAGCAAACUGCAUCGUCGCUGGAAGUUCAGUGUUUGGAGCUCCCGAGCCAGCUCAAGUCAUAUCACUUUUGAGAAAGAGUGUGGAGGUGGCUCAUUGAAUCAACUUAUAUUAAUACAGGCAAGAUCCAUGAUGAUUGGAUACUCAUUCGUUGUGUGCGCUAAUAAGCUCCUUGAUGUAUUAUGAUUAUGAUUGUGAAAAUAAACUGUAAUGAGGUGAUUUGAUGAAUGUUUUGGACUUGUCCUUCUCAAGAAAUGUGACCUCAUGGUCAAUCUGGUAUAUUGUUUCGCCAUCAAACAUUUGAUUUUCUGUUUGAGAAA